ACCUCAAAAAAACCACAACAGUCUGUUUCAUCCGUAUAGGAAUCGUCAGGUGGUCCUGAUGAUUCCUAUACGGAUGAAACAGACUGUUGUGGUUUUU